rnacentral:tRNA from 1 species
AAAUAAUAAGCAUUAAUGCAUUUAGUUUCGACCUAAAAGAAGAUAUUAAUAAUAUCAUUAUUUA